rnacentral:rRNA from 1 species
AUUGAACGCUGGCGGCAGGCCUAACACAUGCAAGUCGAACGAGUGGCGGACGGGUGAGUAAUGUCUGGGAAACUGCCUGAUGGAGGGGGAUAACUACUGGAAACGGUAGCUAAUACCGCAUACCAUCGGAUGUGCCCAGAUGGGAUUAGCUAGUAGGUGGGGUAAAGGCUCACCUAGGCGACGAUCCCUAGCUGGUCUGAGAGGAUGACCAGGCACACUGGAACUGAGACACGGUCCAGGCUCGUACGGGAGGCAGCGGUGGGGAAUAGUGCGCAAUGGGCGCAAGCCUGAUGCAGCCAUGCCGCGUGUAUGAAGAAGGCCUUGGGGUUGUAAAGUACUUUCAGUCGGGAGGCGUUACCGACGGAAGAAGCACCGGCUAACUCCAUGCCAGCGGCCGCGGUAAUAG